ensembl:snRNA U2 U2 spliceosomal RNA
AAAGUUUUUUGAAUUGUUGUGGAAAGAAAAUAAAAGAAGUAAAAAAAAAAAAAAAAAUCUGUUCUUAUCAGUUUAAUAUCUGAUACGCCCCCGAUUUGGGGCAACGUAUUAAAUGCAUUUUUAGAACAGGGAGCCGAAUAAGGGGCUCGCUCCGUUCGCUCCACGCAUCGACCCGGUAUUGCAGCGCCUCCGGGAACGGUGCCCCCUUU